rnacentral:rRNA from 1 species
UGCCAGCAGCCGCGGUAAUACGGAGGGUGCGAGCGUUGUUCGGAAUCAUUGGGCGUAAAGCGGGUGUAGGCGGUGCGUUAAGUCGGAUGUGAAAGCCCAGGGCCCAACCCUGGAACUGCAUUCGAAACUGGCGCACUAGAGUCUCGUAGAGGAAGGCAGAAUUCCCGGUGUAGAGGUGAAAUUCGUAGAGAUCGGGAGGAAUACCAGUGGCGAAGGCGGCCUUCUGGGCGAUGACUGACGCUGAGAUCCGAAAGCGUGGGGAGCAAACAGGAUUAGAUA